GAUGAACGCUGGCGGCGUGCCUAAUACAUGCAAGUCGAGCGAACAGAUGAGAAGCUUGCUUCUCUGAUGUUAGCGGCGGACGGGUGAGUAACACGUGGGUAACCUACCUAUAAGACUGGGAUAACUCCGGGAAACCGGGGCUAAUACCGGAUAAUAUUUUGAACCGCAUGGUUCAAUAGUGAAAGACGGUUUCGGCUGUCACUUAUAGAUGGACCCGCGCCGUAUUAGCUAGUUGGUAAGGUAACGGCUUACCAAGGCGACGAUACGUAGCCGACCUGAGAGGGUGAUCGGCCACACUGGAACUGAGACGCGGUCCAGACUCCUACGGGAGGCAGCAGUAGGGAAUCUUCCGCAAUGGGCGAAAGCCUGACGGAGCAACGCCGCGUGAGUGAUGAAGGUCUUCGGAUCAUAAAACUCUGUUGUUAGGGAAGAACAAAUUUGUUAGUAACUGAACAAGUCUUGACGGUACCUCACCAGAAAGCCACGGCUAACUACGUGCCAGCCGCCGCAGUAA
rnacentral:rRNA from 1 species